rnacentral:rRNA from 1 species
GCCGCGGUAAUUCCAGCUCCAAUAGCGUAUAUUAACGUUGUUGCAGUUAAAAAGCUCGUAGUUGAAGUGUGGGUGGUGCUGUCUGAAUGACUUCGGUUAGUCAGAUGAUCACUACCCCCUUCCAGUAUCCAGUAGUGGGUAUUCAGUUACUUACUAUUGUGUGUUGGUCCUUUACUGUGAGAAAAUUAGAGUGUUCAAAGCAGGCGUUUGCUUGAAUAGAUUAGCAUGGAAUAAUAAUUGAAGGCUUUCGUGUUCGAUUUGAUUGGUUUGUUCAUGGAAGCAAGGUUAAAAGGAACAGUUGGGUGUAUUCAUAUUCACUAGUUAGAGGUGAAAUUCUCGGAUUUAUGGAAGAUGAACAAGUGCGAAAGCAUUUACCAAGGAUGUUUUCAUUAAUCAAGAGCGAAAG